UUGGUAUAAAGUCACAGAUUCCAGUCAGCAGCUCAAACUCUGAGACGAUGUCAAGACAAACUCCAGCAGCAGCUCCUAUACAAGCAGGCAUGGUCUCAGAUGCAGCAGAAACUGAAGUCAGGAGGAUUGUUCAUUCAUUAUUCAGAGUGAUUGUGAUUAUUGUUGAGUUUGCAGCGUUUGCUGCUCCUACUGUGAUUCUUCUUCAGAUCAUCUGUGCAAGAAGAGCUGGGAGGAAGAAAUCGCAGUACGAGAAGAAAUAGUGAUGAAUAAAAUUUAUGAAUAAAAUACUCCCUACAAACAACAGGCCAGAUUACAUCAGAUUUCUCUUCAUCUCAAUGAUAUUAUGCAUAUUUGCAUGCAGCUUUCAAGGAUAUUUGCUCCAUAUAUAUAUAUAAUACAGUACAUGGUAAUUUUCUAUCCUUGAGUCAUCUAAUCGUUACUUUAAACUCUAUACAAAUAUGUGCUGAAUACUAACAUUAUGUGCAGAAAGAUUGAUUAUUUUCUCUAAAACUCUUAGUCUGUGUUCUUCUGAAGAAAGAAAGUCGUACACGUAUGGGAUGACAUUGAGGUGUAAAGGAUGGAUUAUUUGUGCUUCAUUUUAAUUGUUGUUCCUGCUCUAGA